rnacentral:rRNA from 2 species
ACCCGCACAAGCAGCGGAGCAUGUGGUUUAAUUCGAAGCAACGCGAAGAACCUUUACCAGGGCUUGACAUCCCUCUGACCGGCGUGUAACGGCGCCUUCCCUUCGGGGCAGAGGAGACAGGUGGUGCAUGGUUGUCGUCAGCUCGUGUCGUGAGAUGUUGGGUUAAGUCCCGCAACGAGCGCAACCCUUGUCAUUAGUUGCCAGCAGGUAAAGCUGGGCACUCUAGUGAGACUGCCGGGGGACAACUCGGAGGAAGUGGGGAUGACGUCAAAUCAUCAUGCCCCUUAUGUUCUGGGCUACACACGUGCUACAAUGGCCGGUACAGAGAGACGCAAUGUCGUGAGGCGGAGCAAAACUCCAAAACCGGUCCCAGUUCGGAUUGCAGGCUGCAACUCGCCUGCAUGAAGUCGGAGUUGCUAGUAAUCGCGAAUCAGAAUGUCGCGGUGAAUGCGUUCCCGGGUCUU